rnacentral:rRNA from 1 species
UACGGAGGAUCCAAGCGUUAUCCGGAUUCAUUGGGUUUAAAGGGUGCGUAGGCGGGAUAGUAAGUCAGUGGUGAAAGCCUGCAGCUUAACUGCAGAACUGCCAUUGAUACUGCUAACCUAGAGUACAGCUGAUGUGGGCGGAAUGUGUCGUGUAGCGGUGAAAUGCUUAGAUAUGACACAGAACACCGAUUGCGAAGGCAGCUCACAAAACUGUAACUGACGCUGAGGCACGAAAGUGUGGGGAUCGAACAGGAUUAGAAACCCCCGUAGUCC